GCUUGUUGAUUGUCAUCUAAUCAUUUUCUUUUUCAUCCUAGAAUUUGAAUGAUUAUAUGGUUAGAUGACCAUCAACAAACAUAUUCAUGGUAUUGCAUGC
rnacentral:pre_miRNA from 1 species